AUGACGUCAAGUCCUCAUGGCCUUUAUGUCUAGGGCUACACACGUACUACAAUGGCCGGUACAAAGGGCAGCCACUCAGCGAUGAGGCGCUAAUCCCAUAAAGCCGUCCACAGUUCGGAUUGGAGUCUGCAACUCGACUCCAUGAAGCCGGAAUCGCUAGUAAUCGUGGAUCAGCAUGCCACGGUGAAUACGUUCCCGGGCCUU
rnacentral:rRNA from 1 species